AACCGUCGAGUAAUCGGACUUGGCGAAGGACUGAUUGGAGUCAUGGAU
rnacentral:sRNA from 12 species